UUCUGACCGCACUAACCAUGCCUAGGAAGGAAAGGAGUUGUUGUUUUGUAGAAGGGAUUGGGGUUUGGGAGAUUAGUCAGACACGAUCAGCAGGGAGAGCACGUGUGAGAAUUAUGCUGAGAUAGGUAACAGAUGAGGAAGAAAUCUGGGCUUGACUGAAGUAAUGGGAGCUGUCUGUGAAGCCUUGCAGCAGUACUGCUCAGGUAAACAGCCCUGGGACAAAGAACAGACUACGGGUAUUGCCUUCUUAAUCAACAAUAAAGUAUUAGUUGGCUUCCAGGCAGACACCACUGACUUUCAAGAGAAAGGCACGGGAGUAAGGAAGUAAAGAAUUCAGGUGCUGCUUGAAAAUACAACAAACUGUCUUCAGAAUACUUUUAUGUGUUGUUGAAAGAAAGCACUGCAGCUAAUAUAGCUACAAAGGAGAAACAGUUAUUCUUAAAUGUCAUCUAUUUGCUGGACCUGAACAGGUUAGAAAAAUGAAAAAUACUGAUACAGCAGACGAAUUCUGGAACUAACACUUCCACAAAUCAUUGAUAAUCCAUUUUCCAACUUCUUCAAAUUCCAGACCAUCAACAAAUGUACUGUUCCAUCUGGAAGUCAAGAUUGGUGCCACCUAAGUGGGUUCCUGCUGCAAGGAACUUAAGGACAUCCUCCUUCAUUUGCAGGACAUCAAGGGCUCCGGACAUUGUGAAAGUUUCCCUUUAAGUUACGACGGGAAUCCAGAACAACGCCGUAUGGACCCCUCUGCAGGUAGCAAGGAAAAGCGCCAGUAACUUUUAAAGGCUUGUUUUGCAUAUUAUUCAGGCCUAAAUCACGGUUCUCAUAAAUUGAUUAUCAUGUCCCUUUCAUCUGUCCAUUUAUGCUUCUAAAUGGUUCUUAAUGGUUCACUAUAUUUGAAGGCCAUAACCAUUUGCUGAUGAGUUACUAGUUUAAUUUGUCACUAUUUCUCCAAUACAUAUAUGUAAGUGCUUAUCGUCUUUUAAUCCUAGAUAUUCUUCUGGAAGUAAUAAUAAAAGUUGAAAGCUGGAAGGAAAAUAAGUUUAAAUGGUGUUCUUGAGAUUAUAUAGUGUCACUGAAUGUCAGAGCUAGGACUAAAUUUCAGAUAUUUUGAUUUAUAAUAUGAUUAAUAAUAUGAAUAAAAUUUUUGCCACAUGACAUUACUUGCUUUUGAAAGUUGAAAUGGAGCUAUGUUUUGAACAUACUGAAAGAGAAAUAGGCUUCAAAUGAAGAGUUUCCCAGGCCUGGAGUGGCAGUUGUGUUGAUGAACGGGGGUGAGUGGCAGAGCAGAUUGAAAAGUGGAACUUGAAUUAGCAAUUAGCAGAGGACCAUGGAAUUUGCCUUCUUUUAAAGUAAUAAAGACUUCUAAAAAUUUUUGAAUACAUGCCACUUUUAGAGUGUUAAAUUAUGUCUUUUCUGAUCAGGGUCAUCCUUGCGUGUGAGAGUCCCUAAACAUAGCAAUGGGCCGUUUUCUUCUGCUUAAUUGACUGAGACAAAAAUUAGUUAUUAUAGACCAAAUUGUUACUUCCCAAAAUGUAAAUGUUGAAGUCUUACUCCCUCC
rnacentral:lncRNA from 10 species